rnacentral:rRNA from 1 species
CCUACGGGUGGCAGCAGUGAGGAAUAUUGGUCAAUGGACGCAAGUCUGAACCAGCCAUGCCGCGUGCAGGAAGACGGCUCUAUGAGUUGUAAACUGCUUUUGUACGAGGGUAAAUCCCGCUACGUGUAUCGGGGUGAAAGUAUCGUACGAAGAAGGAUCGGCUAACUCCGUGCCAGCAGCCGCGGUAAGACGGGUGAUUCAAGCGUUAUCCGGAUUUAUGGGGUGUAAAGGGUGCGCAGGCGGUCUGUUAAGUCCGCGGUCAAAGCCCGGGGCGCACCCCCGGCCCGCCGUUGAAACUGGCAGUCUCGAGUUGGAGAGAAGUAUGCGGCAUGCGCGGUGUAGCGGUGAAAUGCAUAGAUAUCGCGCAGAACUCCGAUUGCGAAGGCAGCAUGCCGGCUCCACACUGACGCUGAGGCACGAAAGCGUGGGUAUCGAACAGGAUUAGAUACCCUUGUAGUC